AUUGAACGCUGGCGGCAGGCCUAACACAUGCAAGUCGAGCGAGCGGCGGACGGGUGAGUAAUGUAUGGGAAACUGCCCGAUAGAGGGGGAUAACUACUGGAAACGGUGGCUAAUACCGCAUACCAUCGGAUGAACCCAUAUGGGAUUAGCUAGUAGGUGGGGUAACGGCUCACCUAGGCGACGAUCCCUAGCUGGUCUGAGAGGAUGACCAGCCACACUGGAACUGAGACACGUCCCAGACUCCUACGGGAGGCAGCAGUGGGGAAUAUUGCACAAUGGGCGCAAGCCUGAUGCAGCCAUGCCGCGUGUAUGAAGAAGGCCUUAGGGUUGUAAAGUACUUUCAGCGAGGAGGCGUUACUCGCAGAAGAAGCACCGGCUAACUCCGUGCCAGCAGCCGCGGUAAUUC
rnacentral:rRNA from 1 species